rnacentral:rRNA from 1 species
UACAGAGGGGGCAAGCGUUAUUCGGAAUUAUUGGGCGUAAAGGGCGCGUAGGCGGCCAUUCAAGUGACGGGUGAAAGCCCUCGGCUUAACCGAGGAACUGCCUGUCAGACUGGAUGGCUUGAGACCGGGAGAGGUGAGUGGAAUUCCCAGUGUAGCGGUGAAAUGCGUAGAUAUUGGGAGGAACACCAGUGGCGAAGGCGGCUCACUGGACCGGAACUGACGCUGAGGCGCGAAAGCCAGGGGAGCAAACGGG